CCGUCCGUUCGUCGUUUAGUUGCUCUACUAGCGCGUUUGUUGCUGCUGCUCGACGAAGCUUUGUAGGUUCAGGUGUGUAGAUCGUGUCGGAAAAACCGAAGCCUCGCCGCCAGUGUGUGAAGCCAGCGUCCGAGGGUGGUCAAGUCGAAGCGCGUGGAGCCGAGUUGGAUCGACGCAACCGUUGGCUGGUUUACUCUUGAAGUGUCUCUCUAGCGAGCAAGUUGCCUUUUCCCGAGCCGCCCUCUCGGUUGGAGAAGAAACGGAAAUCGAUAUUGUAGGCUCACAACCCGUCUCCGUUUACCGUAGUUAGUUUUGCCUCUGUACAGUUGUUGCACACAACAACCCAUCAUCCUUUAUAGGAACUGAAACUCGCACCGUUCCUAAACGACACCAGUACAAACACAAACACACACAAUGAAGAACCUGCUGCAGGUAACAGUCGUGAUAGCGUGCAGUGCGCUGGCCGUGAUGGCCAUCCCAGUGCCAGAACCGGACCCGAACCCAGCGCCUGCACCCGCGCCGGAACCAAAGACUGACAUCGAACUGAUGAAAAUUCCCCUGGAAGGGGAUCAGGAGCUAGACGUCAUCACGCUGGUCGACUCCGGAGAUCAGAAGAUCAAUGAACGAAACAAAAGAACGAUCGGCAUCCUUCGGGAGCUGUUCCCAACGAUCUCGCAGAUUCUGGAUCAGAAAAUCCAGAUGAUCACGUCCUAUCUGUUCCGCACCAUCGGACCGAUCCUGUUGCGUAGCGGUCUGGGUGGCGGCGCUGGCGGCAAUGCCGGAGGUCGUGGAACCACCGACGACGAUUUCGACGCUGAUUUCGAUGAUGAUGAUGAUAAGGCCACUGACAGCGACAAGAACGAUUCCAACAGCAGCGAAGGUGGACGCAAAGUGAGCAUUGAUUUGCCCACGUUCCCCCCGAGCAGCGACGACGACGGUGACGAUGGUGAAAAGGCCACUACAGCCAGCAGUGGAGUCUCGGAUGAGAAUGAAAUUCGUAAGCGAGCAGUCGGAAGACUGCAAGCUUCACCGUCCUCGUCGUCGUUUUCGGUGGGCAGCGAUCCCACGACUACGGCACUUUCCGCCGAUACGGCUGCACCUAGCACAAUCACCACCACGGGAAGCAGUAGCGGCAGCAACGCUGAACGGGAUUCAGCAACGACCACACAAAACGCACAGUUCAGCACCGACUCCAACCUGGUAUGAGAUCGGCAUCCGGCUCAACCACACACUUCCACGCACACAAACAUCUAACGUACAAGUAGCUCAGUAGCAAUUUACCAGUGCAAAGCUCCAAACGAGAGCGAAGCUGUAGAACACUGUCUGGUGUGAACAACCGUAACCUACUUUACCGACGGAGCGUAGCGCCAUCUAGUUUGAAAUAGCGGCGGCGCACGUCAUGGGAUUUAAUUCUAUAGGAUAAAUAACUGUCUCUGUCUAAUCACUCAAUGUACUUCUUCUACGACUAUUUCCGUUAAUAACGUAGUUAUAAUCUUUGUGUUUCAUAAAAUUCGCUUCAUUUGUGAAUUAACCACUGUCAAAGACUGAUCCAGUCAUUGCCUUUCAAUAACACACUUAAAUGUUUCAUACCGCUUAGAACUUCUAGGAAUAGAAUGACCGUCGCUUCAUCAUUCUACCACUUUCUCUCUUUCUCUUUUUUUCUCUCCGAAUCGUAGAGUAAAUUGGUGACCGCAAGCUGAACUUCCGUACUACCACGAUGACACUGUAUGGGAUCGUUCGCUCUGUCUGCUCUGUUCUUCCUGCUACCAUUUUCUGUAUGUCAAACCAAACAUUUCCUGUCGUCCUACGCUCUCUCCAUCUUUUUCUCAGCCUGUCGCGCAGUUUUCUCGUCGUCCGUAGCUUGUAGCCCUGUGUCAAGUGUGAGUCUUCCUCAUCUGUUUCUCCGACGUAUCACGUCCUUUCGUCUUUCUCUUUCCAUAACCUGCCCUGCAUUUAGUUGUAAUAGUAAUAAUUUUCCUCUGGAAACCUUUCAACAAACCUAUAAAAAACAUGAUACAAAAAUCAAAUUAAUCUCAUUAAAUGCUCUCAUUUCAUCUUUCUCAUCCCAAACCUUAAACAAUUGAAUCUCUCUCCCCAAUAAAUACAAAUCCAUUCAUCGUGAACAAAACAAAACCUUCUUUACCGAUCGGCGCACUCACUCGCACAUGCGCUCGUGCAUCUUCGUUCGACAUACGCUCACCUCCAUGUGAAUGUGUAUGCGUGUCUGUGGUGGUUUUUCUGUGUGCGCGCGUGCACUAUGUGUUCCAUCCCACAUCAUGGUGCAUGGUUUGCCUCCCCCGCUCGUGUGUUGGCUCGUCGCCACAUAGAUCACCUCCAACCAGGACAUGAACACGCUGGAAUCGCUGGAUCUGGCCGGACUGAGUGACACCCUGAAUGCUAUACGCAAGGCCCGAGCCACCGAUCAGGACGUCAAAACGGUCGGGGAAAACGACGAAUCGAGUGACUCAUCGGCCAAGAGCUCUGCCCUAGACGAACUCUCGCUGGACUCUGAAGGCAACGACGAGGAUCGCAACAAAAGAUUUCUCUUUGGCGGUUCCUCGGGCGGAGCCGGCGGUUCCGGAAACUUCCUUUUUGACAUCAUCCGUCUCGUCUCGGGCAGCUCCGGUACCGAACAGAGUGACGAAAAGGCCAACUCUCCCGAUCACGACGACGAUCACGAACUCGGAAAGGGAGACGGCUACACCGAAGGAAUCCCCGGACCGGUAACGCGCCUGUUCGUGCUCGCCAACCGUGGCCUGUCCAACCUGAUUCAGGAUUUGAUUCUGCGAAUCGCACAAACCAGUGAACGAGUGGUUAACUUCAAGGCACGUCUGAUUACGUCACUCAUCUAAGGUUGCAGAUCCACCUCCCAUCAAACUCAUUCCCUGAGUGCAGCCCCCAUCUUCAUGCGAGUCCCCGUCCCUCCUCACAUCCACCUAUUCUCAAUUUUCCCGCGUAGAUCCUGAAAUAUCAUAACGAAAACGCACAUCACCCAAGUCAACUUAGCUGCAUGUCAAAGCUUCUACUCUUAUCUAUCGUUAUCUGAAUCUAUCCGGUUUGAGUCUUGGGAAAUGCCCUCGGUGCACUCAUUCGUCAUUCCAAAUCCCCAAAAUCAACCGAAAAAAUGCACUCGCAAAUGUUGUAAAUACAGUCCAGUCAUUGCGCCAGAGGCCAGGGCUCCCCAAGACUGGAACCAUCAUCGACCUCUAUCGAAAACUGAAAGACGAGGGUGUGUGUACUAGCUCAAAACUGUAACUCCUGUUGUUUGUGUCACUGUAUAUUCAAAGUAACAAACGAAACGAGACAAAUUUUAUAAGGCUGGAAAAGGAUACUUGUGUUUUGUUCUUAUGUUUAGCUUGUAGGUUUUAUUGUAUUCUCCAAAACUGGAAACUAGUUUCCGCAACACUCAUUCCCUCUCGAAAACAAGUAGAAAUCUUUUCACGAAUAACAAACCACUGGGAGAAAAUGUCGGUUUGAAUUUGUUAGAUUUUUUUAUUGGAGCAAAAUUAUUCGCUUUUCAAAUAAUCUUGUUUUCAAUCUGAAAAAACUUCGAAACAAUCGUUAAAAUCCACGAUUACGCAAAAUUAAAACUGGAUUCAAACCGAUAUUUUCGCUCAGUGUAUAACUGACAACCGGUGUCUUCUUUACCGACACCGGCUUUCAAAACUUUCCUAGUAAAACGAACUCAAUUGCUCAAUUUUUUUCAUUAUUUUCAUACUUCUAGUGCCUCGUCAUUAGGUUAGGCCUUUUCGAUCCAUUAUCUUUGUUCUUCUAAAAAAAAAACUUUUAAACUACGACUGUCAGUCACAUCCUGCUUCGCAUUCCGACACAUUCAUCCCCAAAUGUGGGUUGUAAAUAUCGCGUCUUUUGUAUAAAAAUAAAAAUUGUCACCUACAACAAAAUCUAACCUUUCCCCCAUGAUGUGCGCAUGUUUGCGAGAGAAAGCAAGAGAGAGAAUGUGAAAGGAAUCUAAUCUUUCCACACUUUUCGUUUCAAACUGAUAUUAGUUAAGAUUAGGAGAGUUAGGGAGAGUUAAUGAGCGCUCGAAUUUCCACACAUAUUGUCCUAGCAUUCUGUCUGCGGAACAAUCUUUUGUAAAUAGGUUUAACUGAAACAAAAAAUCUUUUGCUACUAUUCUGUACUGCCUUGGAAAAAGCAAGUAUGCUUCGAGCUUCUUCAACCUUUGAACAAAUCAAACUUUCGGUGAAACUGUGCAAAAAAUCAAAGCAAAUGCUCUAGCUUUUAGUGGAACGCGUCAAGUGUCUCUAUUGUCUACUAGGAAGAAGGAAUCAAAUUGUUAGCAAGUUAGGUUUAGUUUUGUCGUCGCGUUGUAGGAAAGAGCAAACAGGUGAUCAUUAUUAAAAGUGUACUAUUAUUGAACAGAAAUUAUUAUUGGAAGAAAGAGAAAGGUUUUAUUUUCACAGU